AUUCCUGUAGCUCAGUGGUUAGAGCACUCACCCAGCAAGUGAGAGGACCUGGGUUUGAUUCCCGGGUGGGACA